rnacentral:lncRNA from 1 species
UGACCAUUUCUUUUGGUCAUUUUGGAAUCAUUAAUCAAAAUAAAAAUUUCAAGUGAAGGGCCACAUUUUACUUUUUCUCAAAGAAGGAUGUUUGUUAGGAUUAUUAACUUGGUGUUAACUUUGCCUUGUCAUUCGUGGCAAUAAUUAAGGCAAUUCCCAAACAGAGGGGAUGGUUAGCCUUUUUUUUUUUAUUUUUUUUUUUAAAAUAUAGUUGUUCUUUUUUGUUUCUUUUUUCUUUUUCCUCCUUUAUCCAUUUUAGGGUCUUACUUUGAUCUCACCUAGUAGUUCUACCUGAUGGUGAAGCAAAGAAGUAAUUAGUCGCUCCAUAGGAGAGGGGGCUUCACGUUACGUAAUGUACACCUUUACUAGUAUAAAAUUGUGCUCCAUAAUAUUUAAUGUAGAAUUGCAAGGAAAAGUUUC